GGUCACCAUCCUCCCCUGAUACUCUCUAGAGUCUAGACUCCACACUCAUCUCCUGUCCCCGUGCCACCCGUGAUGCUCUCUUCGCCAUCAGUGCCACCGGAAGAUGUUAUCACCAUUGUCACUGCAACUCCAGGAUACGGGUGCACUACAUUAUUUCUUAGGAGUGGAAGUCCUACCCCUUCGAGAUGGCAUCUUCCUUUCCCAGCAUAAGUACAUCCAUGAUUUAUUGCAUAAUACAAAGAUGAACGGUGCUCAAGAAGUUCGCACUCCUCUUUCCACAAGCCUACCUCUCAAGCUCCAUGAUGGUACUGCUUCCUUUGAUAGCACUGAAUACAGAAAGGGUUCUGGGAAGUCUUCAAUACCUCUCCCUCACUCGACCAGGCAUCUCUUUCGCUGUGAAUAAGCUGUCCCAAUUCAUGCAAAAACCAACUCAAACCCACUGGACAACAACUAAGAGGCUGCUGCACUACUUAAAGCAAAUCAUCUUCCAUGGACUCAAGCUAACUUGCUGGCCUUUUCUGAUGCUGACUGUGGUAGGCAACCUUGAUGAUCGAACCGCAACUUCAGUAUACAUCACCUUUGUAGGCUCCAAUCCCAUCUCAUGGAGCUCAAAGAGAUGACGUGCCACUACACGAUCAUCAACUGAAGCUGAGUACAGGGCCCCUGCUACUGCAGCCUCUGAAACUAUGCGGAUACAUUCCUUUCUUCAGUAACUACACUUCAAGCUCCACUCCCCUUCGCCAUCUGGUUCAAAUGGGCACUCUUCAAGUCAGGCAUGUGCACACUCAAGACCAGCUGGCUGAUUUAAUGACGAAGCCUCUUUCACGGCAACGAACAGAACUCCCCAGAGGCAAAAUUGCUUGCUGAUGACAGCUCAAUUUUGAGGGGGUUUAUCAAAGCAAAUUACCCUUCAGCAAACUCAACAGAAUCCUAGCCUACAAUCAUGCAGAUUCUUACUAAAACUAGUACCACUGAUUACCAUAAUCUGUGUAGCAGAAUUCUAGCCAACAAAUUUGUAUUCUUCUAUUUUUAGCAUACUGUAAUUCCUUCA